UUGUUUUGUUACGAUGUUUUACAUUCUUUACAUAUUGUUUUUGGUGUUGUCCGAAGCCCCUGAGGGCUCCAAAACGGUUCACGGUGUGUGUGGAUGAAGACACGGCCUUUCGGCCAAUCUAUAAUGAUCCUUCCGCAGGUUCACCUACGGAAA
rnacentral:misc_RNA from 1 species